GACGAACGCUGGCGGCGUGCUUAACACAUGCAAGUCGAACGGUGAAGGGACUGGUUUUGCUGGUCCUGGAUGAGUGGCGAACGGGUGAGUAACACGUGAGUAACCUGCCCCCUUCUUCUGGAUAACCGCAUGAAAGUGUGGCUAAUACGGGAUAUUCUGGGUCUGUCGCAUGGUGGGCCUGGGAAAGAUUGCGCCUUUUUUGGUGUUUUUGGUGGGGGAUGGGCUCGCGGCCUAUCAGCUUGUUGGUGGGGUGAAGGCCUACCAAGGCGGUGACGGGUCGCCGGCCUGAGAGGGUGGACGGUCACACUGGGACUGAGACACGGCCCAGACUCCUACGGGAGGCAGCAGUGGGGAAUAUUGCACAAUGGGCGCAAGCCUGAUGCAGCGACGCCGCGUGAGGGAUGGAGGCCUUCGGGUUGUGAACCUCUUUCGCCAGUGAGGCAGGCCUGCCUCUUUUUGUGGGUGGGUUGACGGUAGCUGGAUAAGAAGCGCCUGCUAACUACGUG
rnacentral:rRNA from 1 species